AAGAACACUGGAAACUAUACUAGUUUCCCUUACAAUCUGAGAGUACAUUUAGUCCCCUUACACACUGUAAGAGAUUUCAAUAUUGUUAGAAAUUUGUACAAGCAUAUACGUAGCCUCUAUACACAAUCUUAUGACUAAAUCACCAAGGAAAAACACCUUGUGAUUUUACAACACUGGAAAAGGAAAUACACUUACGUUUUUCAACCUUAUUGUUUCCAACAAUCCUGGACAAUAAGAUAUUGUCGUACUCCAAAAUUUGC
rnacentral:lncRNA from 1 species